rnacentral:rRNA from 1 species
UGAGGAAUAUUGGUCAAUGGACGGAAGUCUGAACCAGCCAUGCCGCGUGCAGGAUGACGGCGCUAUGCGUUGUAAACUGCUUUUGUACGAGGGUAAAGUGUGCUACGUGUAGUAUUUUGAAAGUAUCGUACGAAUAAGGAUCGGCUAACUCCGUGCCAGCAGCCGCGGUAAUACGGAGGAUCCAAGCGUUAUCCGGAUUUAUUGGGUUUAAAGGGUGCGUAGGCGGAGAUUUAAGUUAGUCGUUAAAUCGGGAGGCUCAACCUCCUCAUGGCGAUUAAUACUGGGUUUCUUGAGAAUAGAUGCAGAGGGCGGAAUGUGUAGUGUAGCGGUGAAAUGCUUAGAUAUUACACAGAACACCGAUUGCGAAGGCAGCUCUCUAAUCUAUAUCUGACGCUGAGGCACGAAAGCGUGGGGAUCAAACA